UACGGGGGGAGCAAGGGUUGUUCGGAUUUACUGGGCGUAAAGGGCGCGUAGGCGGUCAGCACAAGUCAGUUGUGAAAUCUCCGGGCUUAACUCGGAAAGGUCAACUGAUACUGUGCGACUAGAGUGCAGAAGGGGCAACUGGAAUUCUCGGUGUAGCGGUGAAAUGCGUAGAUAUCGAGAGGAACACCUGCGGCGAAGGCGGGUUGCUGGGCUGACACUGACGCUGAUGCGCGAAAGCCAGGGGAGCGAACGGG
rnacentral:rRNA from 1 species